CCGUGCUAGACGGGGAGGUAGCGGUGCCCUGUACCCACAAUCCGCUAUAGUGGGGUCGAAUUCCUUUCUGAGGUCUUUAUCUUGUGGGGUCUGACUCCAGCAAGUAGUGACGAAGGCUGGGUCCUGCGCAAUGAAAACUUUCGAACCCCGUCAGGUCCGGGAGGAAGCAGCGGUAAGGGAGCCCUUUCAUGUGCCGUGGGGAAACCUGGCCCGAGCUAACUACUGGAGUAACGCCCGGAGGAUGGGAUCGACGGAGGGUGCACGG
rnacentral:SRP_RNA from 1 species